rnacentral:rRNA from 1 species
UACGUAGGGGGCAAGCGUUGUCCGGAUUUAUUGGGCGUAAAGAGCUCGUAGGCGGUUCAGCAAGUCGGGUGUGAAAAAUCUGGGCUCAACCCGGUGGAGCACCCGAUACCGCUGUGACUAGAGUCCGGUAGGGGAGUGUGGAAUUCCUGGUGUAGCGGUGAAAUGCGCAGAUAUCAGGAGGAACACCAACGGCGAAGGCAGCACUCUGGGCCGGUACUGACGCUGAGGCGCGAAAGCGUGGGUAGCAAACAGG